CCUACGGGAGGCAGCAGUGAGGAAUUUUCCGCAAUGGGCGAAAGCCUGACGGAGCAAUACCGCGUGAAGGAUGACGGCCUAUGGGUUGUAAACUUCUUUUCUCAGAGAAGAAUUUUGACGGUAUCUGAGGAAUAAGCAUCGGCUAACUCU
rnacentral:rRNA from 1 species